GCCCCAAUGGCGCAAUGGUUAGCGCGUAGAGUUUCUACGACAUGAACAAUCGGUCAUUCGUAACAAGUGCCUCUAAGGCUUUGGGUUCAAGUCCCAAUUGGGGUU